rnacentral:piRNA from 1 species
UGCAGCCUCCUACGUACGAUCCCC